AAUCAACGCUGGCGGCGUGCCUCAGACAUGCAAGUCGAACGCGAAAGUCCCCUUCGGGGGACGAAGUAGAGUGGCGCACGGGUGAGUAACACGUAGGUAAUCUACCUUCGGAUGGGGAAGUAACAACCGGAAACGGUUGCUAAUACCGCAUAAUGCAGCGGCACCUAAUGGUGACAGUUGUUAAAGCGGGGGAGUCGAAAGACCUCGCGUCUGAAGAGGAGCCUGCGGCGGAUUAGCUAGNGGUUAAGGUAAUGGCUUACCAAGGCGACGAUCCGUAGCCGGCCUGAGAGGGCGGUCGGCCACACUGACACUGACAUACGGGUCAGACUCCUACGGGAGGCAGCAGUCGGGAA
rnacentral:rRNA from 1 species